rnacentral:lncRNA from 10 species
CUUUCGUGGCACUUUUAUAGGCAGGAGAGAGAGUGGUCUCACAACGGAAGGGCACCAGCCACUGAGAAGUCCUAAGGCCGUGUUUGAGUUCUGGCUCAUCUUUUUUGCUAAUUUGCUCUUAUGCAUAUCACCCAACCUCGCUAAGCCAGUUUCAUCAUCAGCGAGAACAGCACACUGACAUGCAGGGCCAGCUCAGGCGCUACCACAAGCUACACAUCCGUCCAUUCGUUUAAUCUUCACAGCAGCCCUGGAGAGGUGGAAACGAAGGCAAGCAAAUGCAGUCAUUUUGUUGGAGGACUAUUCUACAUUUCCAAAGCAAUGAAGACAUGACCCCAAACUAAACUCUCCUGCAACGUAUUCUUACAAGAAAAAGGCUAAAAGCCUUAUUGCUUAACAAAAGCUAAACAAUGUGAAUUAUUUCAAUAACUGGUCCAAAAAGCUGCAGCAGGCCACUGAGUAACUUGGACAUCUGUUGCCAUGCUUGUUCAUGCUUUCCCCUGAGAUGACAUAUAUGUAUCAUCAUUAAUAGGUGUCCUUGAUUUUGAUAAGAACAAUAUUCCUGUACAUCCCCACAUCUCCUGUACAUAGCCAUGUGCUGCCAUCUUCUGAUUAUGCCCAGUGGAGUGUAAACAUUUUUUCAUGAAAAAGCAAAAUCAAUAAAAGUAAAACUCCCCACUUUUCCUGCCAGUAGUGCCCUUGGUAACAAACAGGGCAGAGACACCAAUACAGAGAUUACAAUACUCUCAGA